UCCGGUUUAACACCGGCAGUCGCUCUAGAGUCCCCAACUUAAUGCUGGUAACUAAAGCCAAGGGUUGCGCUCGUUAUCGGACUUAACCGGACAUCUUACGACACGAGCUGACGACAGCCAUGCAGCACCUAUCUUGGCGUCCCCGAAAGGAACUCGACAUCUCUGCCGAUAGCACCAGAUGUUAAGGGUAGGUAAGGUUCUGCGCGUUGCUUCGAAUUAAACCACAUACUCCACCGCUUGUGCGGGCCCCCGUCAAUUCCUUUGAGUUUUAGCCUUGCGACCGUACUCCCCAGGCGGGAUACUUAAUGCGUUAGCUUGAGUACUCAGGAGCUUAACUUCCCGAACACCGAGUAUCCAUCGUUUACGGCGUGGACUAC
rnacentral:misc_RNA from 1 species